rnacentral:lncRNA from 7 species
GAGUAACUUCAGCUGUUUUUAUCAUAGGAAGACUUGGCAGAAAAUAGCUUCCCCUACUGCUGUGCUAGAUGAGAUGGAGGGGUGCAGUCACAUAAAGGAGACCCGAAGUCACAGGAAGAGGAUUUUUCUCAGCAGACUGAUGAUGGCAGGAAGGUGAAAUAAAGAGAAAGACAGCAUACUUCACUUUGAGUUUUUGAUGUAUUCUACAAAUGGUAAUGAACUGAGCGUCAGAGAUGCAGCCUCCUGAUGGCCAAGAAAAUAAACUAUAUUAUGAAAGACUUUGAGGAACUUUGAGAUUGCGGAGCAGUGUGGAACACUUUGAACUGAUAAAGAAAUGUACAGCUGUGAUGAGAUGUUUGACUAUGUGCUUGAUCCUUCUAGAAAUUAAUGGAAGGUACAUUCCUGGCAUAAUAGCACCAAACUGUGCAUGUUUCUUCUUUUCCCUUUGAGGUGCUGAGAAGACUCACUUUCAUUUCAAGAUUUUCCUCCAGCGAAUUAAUUUAUUUUAUUUAUUAUUUAAACCCAGCUGCAACAGUGCUGUGAGUGCUCUAAACCACCAAGAGAUCCAAGAAGUACCAUCACAAGAGCCAGCUCAAUGAGUACAGCAAAUGGAAAAGGUCUGCAAAUAUUAGACCAGUUCAGCAAAGGCAGCCAAUUCUUUCUGAAAACAAUGGUGUAUUACAACAUAAACAUCAGGCUCAGAGACUGUAAAAAGAACUCAAGGCGAUAUUCCCUUCUCUUCUGCAUAGAGUUAGUACAGACAGUUCAACUCAGUAGAAUUUAGAGCAGCUCCUGAAAUUUCUGAACCUCUGUCACCUAGUAAUAACCACAGCUACACAGGAAGGACUGCUGACAUCCUGUGAUACUUUUGUCCUUAGCACACUUCCAGUAGAGCUUCUCCACUGGGCCAUCAAGGAAGACUGCAGCAGUGAAUUACCUUCAUUCUUCAGUAGCCUUAGACUUCAAAGCAGAAAGAGAAUCCUCAACUCUCCUUUACAGAAUUACAGCCUAUGUAUAGCUAGGAUCUGAACACAGAGAGAGCAUCAAGCAAGAAAUUACUUGGUGGUGUUAAUAAACAGCAAAACUUAAUUUAUCCUAUCAAAUGGGCAACAUAAAAUCUGGAUUUUAAUGGCAAAAAACUUCAGGUUACCUAGUUCUCCAUAAAGCCACUGGAUCUUCUCAACAUCUUUCCUGUCUUAUUUGUGCUCAAACAGUCAAGUAGUAAGCACUGAAUUAGUUUGGCUGGAGUCUACAUCUGCUAAUCUUUCACUACAAUUCAUUUUCAAGGCAACUGUUUUUUUACAGGAUGAACGUGUGCAAAUGAAAUUUUAUUGGCAAUAAAGGAAAAGAUACAAAGCAUUUCCCAGUUCACUCAGACAGGGCAAUGUAUAUAGCCAGAGCUGAUUAAACACAUGAGUUUGCUAUGUGCUUUUUUGUCCUUACUGAAACACAGCCCAACUCAAACAAAUUUAAGGAAAUACUGUUUGUUAUCCAAUCAAUCUCCAUUUUUGCCCUCGCACUUUCUUCAUCACUCAGUUACCUUCAAUAAUUUUUAAUCCCUGAUGUACAUUAUCUAUGCUUUUUAUCCUUCAAAUAUAUUAAUAGUACAAG